GAUGAAGAACGUAGCGAAAUGCGAUAAGUAGUGUGAAUUGCAGAAUUCAGUGAAUCAUCGAAUCUUUGAACGCACAUUGCGCCCCUCGGUAUUCCGUGGGGCACGCCUGUUCGAGCGUCAUUUACACCCUCAAGCGCAGCUUGGUGUUGGGCGUCUGUCCCGCUCUCCGUAGCGCGGACUCGCCUCAAAGUCAUUGGCGGCGGUCGUGCCGGCUCCUCGCGCAGCACAUUUGCGCUUCUCGGAGGCCCGGCGGAUCGGCAUCCAGCAAGCUACUUUUUAUGACUUGACCUCGGAUCAGGUGAGGAUACCCGCUGAACUUAAGCAUAUCAAUAAGCGGAGA
rnacentral:misc_RNA from 1 species